AAUUAUUUAUUUGAUGGUUUCUUACUACAUGGAUAACCGUAGUAAUUCUAGAGCUAAUACAUGCGUAAAGUCCCGACUCUUGCGGGGAGGGAUGUAUUUAUUAGAUUAAAAACCAAUGCGGCCUUUGGUCGGACUUGUGUUGAUUCAUAGUAACUUUUCGGAUCGCAGGGCUUCACGCCGGCGACAGUUCAUUCAAAUUUCUGCCCCAUCAGCUUUCGACGGUAGUGUAGUGGACUACCGUGGCAUUUACGGGUGACGGAGAAUUAGGGUUCGAUUCCGGAGAGGGAGCCUGAGAAACGGCUACCACA
rnacentral:rRNA from 1 species